rnacentral:rRNA from 1 species
UACGUAGGGUGCAAGCGUUGUCCGGAAUUAUUGGGCGUAAAGAGCUCGUAGGCGGGUUUUCGCGUCUGCUGUGAAAACUCGGGGCUUAACUCCGGGCCUGCAGUGGGUACGGGCAGACUAGAGUGCGGUAGGGGAGACUGGAAUUCCUGGUGUAGCGGUGAAAUGCGCAGAUAUCAGGAGGAACACCGGUGGCGAAGGCGGGUCUCUGGAACGCAACUGACGCUGAGACGCGAAAGCGUGGGGAGCAAACAGG